AUAAAAGAAAACCACAAAAGUCAAACCAAGAAGUGCACACUCAAUUGUGCUUUAAUCGCCUUUACGACUUCUCAUUGCUGGCAUUAGCAUUUAUCUUUCAUUUGGUAGAUAUAUCAAGAAGAUGGCGAGAUCCAAAAAGCCACGCAAAGACGUGAAGAAAAAGGCCCCAACAAGCGUAAGGGCGUAUAAUGGAAAGCAACAAACCGCUUAACCCCGCACAGCCGAGAAAAAUGUCCAACCUAAACGCAAAUCACACAGACUAAAGCGUCUUGCAAGUAGUAUAUCUCUUCUUCAUCUAUGGCUUAAAAACACUAUUAUGAAGCGACACCGCUACAAUCUUCGUGUAAAAUUCCAUACUACCAAGUUGCGUUAUUCCGUCAAUACAACGCCAACAACCGGAAAACUUCAGCGAUUCCAUUCACGUACUAGCCUUAACAAAGUCCGCCGUCGAAUUAACUUUGACGUUGAGGAAGAAUAAUAUAAAACAUAAAUUAAUGCCAAAUGUUAUAUAUCAUACAAACGAUUUCAUAUUGAUUCAUGACCUGUAACUCAUCAUAUACCUUUUGAAAUAUAUAUACAUAU